rnacentral:rRNA from 1 species
GGCGAACGCUGGCGGCGUGCUUAACACAUGCAAGUCGAACGGUAAGGCCCUUCGGGGUACACGAGUGGCGAACGGGUGAGUAACACGCGGGUGAUCUGCCCUGCACUUCGGGAUAAGCCUGGGAAACUGGGUCUAAUACCGGAUAGGACCACUGCCUGCAUGGGUGGUGGCGGAAAGCUUUUGCGGUGUGGGAUGGGCCCGCGGCCUAUCAGCUCGGUGGUGGGGUGAUGGCCUACCAAGGCGACGACGGGUAGCCGGCCUGAGAGGGUGACCGGCCACACUGGGACUGAGAUACGGCCCAGACUCCUACGGGAGGCAGCAGUGGGGAAGAUUGCACAAUGGGCGCAAGCCUGAUGCAGCGACGCCGCGUGAGGGAUGACGGCCUUCGGGUUGUAAACCUCUUUCAGCACCGACGAAGCGCAAGUGACGGUAGGUGCAGAAGAAGGACCGGCCAACUACGUGCCAGCCGCCGCGGUAAGAC